UCGAACGAGAAAGUGGAGCAAUCCAUGAGUACAGUGGCGUACGGGUGAGUAACACGUGGAUCAUCUACCUCUUAGUGGGGAAUAUCUUUGGGAAACCGAAGUUAAUACCGCAUAAGCUCGAGAGAGGAAACCCGCAAGGGGCUGAGAGAGGAGUCCGCGGCCGAUUAGCUAGUUGGUAGGGUAAAAGCCUACCAAGGCGUAGAUCGGUAGCCGGCCUGAGAGGGCACACGGCCACACUGGCACUGAGAACGGGCCAGACUCCUACGGGAGGCAGCAGUGGGGAAUCUUGCACAAUGGGGGAAACCCUGAUGCAGCGACGCCGCGUGAGCGAUGAAGCCCUUCGGGGUGUAAAGCUCUUUCGACGGGAACGAUAAUGACGGUACCCGGAGAAGAAGCUGCGGCUAACUACGUGCCAGCAGCCGCGGUAAUACGUAGGCAGCAAGCGUUGUUCGGAAUUACUGGGCGUAAAGAGUGCGUAGGCGGUUUUGCAAGUUUGGUGUGAAAUCUCCCGGCUUAACUGGGAGGGUGCGCCGAAAACUGCAAGGCUGGAGUAUGGGAGAGGUAGGCGGAAUUCCUGGUGUAGCGGUGAAAUGCGUAGAUAUCAGGAGGAACACCGGUGGUGUAGACGGCUUACUGGACCAUAACUGACGCUGAGGCACGAAAGCGUGGGGAGCAAACAGGAUUAGAUACCCUGGUAGUCCACGCCCUAAACGAUGCACACUUGGUGUGAGCGAUUCAUUUCGUUCGUGCCGGAGCUAACGCGUUAAGUGUGCCGCCUGGGGAGUACGGUCGCAA
rnacentral:rRNA from 1 species